rnacentral:rRNA from 1 species
UACGAGGGGGGCGAGCGUUGUUCGGAAUUAUUGGGCGUAAAGGGUGCGUAGGCGGUUUGGUAAGUCUUAUGUGAAAUCUAUGGGCUCAACUCAUAGUCUGCAUGAGAAACUGCCGGGCUUGAGUAUGGGAGAGGUGAGUGGAACUGCGAGUGUAGAGGUGAAAUUCGUAGAUAUUCGCAAGAACACCAGUGGCGAAGGCGGCUCACUGGCCCGGUACUGACGCUGAGGUGCGAAAGCGUGGGGAGCAAACAGG